UACGGAGGAUCCGAGCGUUAUCCGGAUUUAUUGGGUUUAAAGGGAGCGCAGGCCGUUUGCUAAGCGUGCCGUGAAAUGUACCGGCUCAACCGGUGAGUUGAGGCGCGAACUGGCGGACUUGAGUGCAUACGAGGAUGGCGGAAUUCGUGGUGUAGCGGUGAAAUGCUUAGAUAUCACGAAGAACUCCGAUUGCGAAGGCAGCUGUCCAGUCCGUAACUGACGCUAAUGCUCGAAGGUGCGGGUAUCGAAC
rnacentral:rRNA from 1 species